GGUGUUUCAGGGAAUCGUUA
rnacentral:miRNA from 1 species